CAGCCGCCGCGGUAAUACGUAGGUCCCGAGCGUUGUCCGGAUUUAUUGGGCGUAAAGGGAGCGCAGGCGGUUUAGUAAGUCUGGAGUUAAAGGCAUUGGCUCAACCAAUGUAUGCUUUGGAAACUGUUUGACUUGAGUGCAGAAGGGGAGAGUGGAAUUCCAUGUGUAGCGGAGAAAUGCGUAGAUAUAUGGAGGAACACCGGUGGCGAAAGCGGCUCUCUGGUCUGUCACUGACGCUGAGGCUCGAAAGCGUGGGUAGCGAACAGGAUUAGAUACCCCCGUAGUCCCUGUCUCUUAUCCA
rnacentral:rRNA from 1 species